GUCUGAUAUUAACUCCAUCUUAAAAACAAAACCAACAAAAAACUUUAACUUGCUGUUUAGUCUGGGCUGCCAUCCCAGACACUUCCCUGGGAGUAAGUCCCAUGCGGUUAGCGGGGCCUACUUCAGAGCAGACAGACGUAGUAGGAUGGCCCUGUUAGUAAAGCAAAGACCUCAGCAAGCGAGCGCCGUCAUGCCAGCCAGGCACAAUUCAUCACCUCAGUUUCGAAAGAAGUCAGUGGGAUUUUGUGGGCGUGCUGGUUUUUUCGCCCAACUAAAUCGCACUUGUAUGGAUCCAUUGAUGUAGAUCCAUUUCCAGCGAGGAGCAGCAGAACACCAGCAGAGGGAAGCAGGACACCUAAUUUCAGAACCAAUGUGAGGUUUGGACACAUGAAGUGGUAAACAACAGGGAGCGGAGGUUCCACAGCCAAAUUCUAUGAAUGUGUCCUUAGAAAUUCCCAUGAGUCCAAUGGAUCAACUCUCAAGUCUCAAGUAAGAAUGCCUCUUUCAACCCUGUUAUUCAGCUUCUCCAACAUCUGGCACCAUCGUAUCUGAAAAUGACAGAUUCAGCGGUGACGAGAGUCGAGCAUCAGUGCCCCCUGUGACCUUCAUCUUUCUGCACAUGCAGCUGAGGAGAAGUAAAGCUUUUGAGUCUUGGGGCCAUCUGCAUCUGGUAAAUGGAAGUCCAGUCACCCUAAGAACAUGGGUAGGCAAUGACUGACAGGCUGCCCUGGCUCAGUUAUCACUGUGCUGAUGCUGUCUAUACAAAAGGUACAGUACUGUGAUAACUGAAGGAUGGCAGCCAUCUUAGCAUCACAGGAACUCAGCAAGCGGUGAUCAGAGAAGACUGUGUUCUGUCCUGAAAACCUGGCUAUAUUUUAUUGACGAAAACCAAAGCCAGCAGCACGUACCAAAGCUGGAAAACACACAUUCACUAUUUUUGCAGCUUAACAUUUCACUUCAAGAUGGUACCUUCAAUAAAAUUUGAAAGCAAAAGUU